ACUACACUACACACUUAAGAGUAUACUCAGUUCCUCAUAGUGGAUGUACAUUUUUAAGGCACAAACCAUGAGGGAAGGCUUUGUAGGGCAUGUCUACCAUUAGUCGGACUCAAAUAACUCCUCCUUGGGACAUAGACAGGGGUCAUGAAGUGAAAACAUCUGUAUGUCCCCACGUCAACCCCAGAUGAAUGUUCUAAUAUCCCAGCCCUAAAUAGGGGCGCUAGGACUAUUUUUAAGAUGCCUGGGUUAUUUUCCCUUCUAUAUUUUGUUGGUAAGGUCAGCCUGGGUUACUUUCCCUUCUAUAUUUUGUUGGUAAGGUCAGCCUGGGUUACUUUCCCUUCUAUAUUUUGUUGGUAAGGUCAGCCUGGGUUACUUUCCCUUCUAUAAUUUGUUGGUAAGGUCAGCCUGGGUUACUUUCCCUUCUAUAUUUUGUUGGUAAGGUCAGCCCAAUUCCCACUUGGGUCCCGUGAGAUCCUACCGUACAGCCAUUUCAGUAGCCGUUGAAGACUUAAAACAUGUCUUCUGUGGAGAAAAGCAAACCGAGCCAUGUUUCACACCAUCUAUCCAACUCCCGCUGUUAGUCACCGUCG